rnacentral:lncRNA from 1 species
ACCAAACAUAAGCACUAAUCUCCAACCUCAAUUGAUUGGUAGUUGGAGACUUUUAGCAGCUCAAUCCAAUGAUUCCUAAAACCUUCCAACUUUUUGGAGCCAUUUUGCUCCUCUUCUUGUUUCAGUUACCAAACAGAAUCCAAUCAAAACCAAGUGGAAAUCCUUUUGGGUUUAUCCAACACCUAGAGGGAUGCCACAAGGGUGAAUCUAUAAGUGGGCUCAAGGACCUUAAACGAUAUCUUGAGAAAUUUGGGUACUUGAAUUACGCCAAAAAAAGCAGAAACAACCAUGCAAAUGAUGAUGAGUUUGAUGAUCUUUUGGAGGCAGCAAUCAAGGAUUACCAACACUACUAUCACCUGCAAGCCACAGGAGUUUUAGACAAUAAUACAGUAUCUCAAAUGACGAAACCUAGAUGUGGGGUGCCAGAUGUUGUCAAAAAUGGCACAAACAAGCACUACCAUAAUCCCAAAUCCAUCCACUCAGUAGCCCAUUUCAGCUUCUUCCCUGGACCCCGAAGAUGGCCAGCAGAGAGAAGCCAUUUAAGAUACAGGUUUCGUUCCAGUGUGCAAGUCCCUGGAACUGGCAAUUUCAGGUCCAUAUGUGCACAAGCAUUUCAGAGAUGGGCACAAGUUACCCACUUCACAUUCGAGGAAGUUGAUGCUAAUUCUGAGGCAGAAAUCGAGAUUGGAUUUCACAGGAGGUUCCAUGGAGAUAGUGACCCCUUUGAUGGAAUAUCAGGGACUUUCGCACAUGCAACUGCACCAACUCAUGGAAGGUGCCAUUUUGAUGGAGAUGAGAUAUGGAGUGGAAAUCCUGGACCUAAUGAGUUGGACUUGGAAUCAGUUGCAGUGCAUGAAAUCGGGCACCUUCUAGGUCUAGACCAUAGUGAAGACCCAAAUGCUAUAAUGUAUUCUACCUUUGAUUAUGGGAUUACCAAAAGGGAUUUGGGUACUGAUGAUAUUCAAGGAAUUCGUACUCUGUAUGGAUUGCAGUAAUGAGUUCAUUAUUCUUAUUACAAUAAGAGCAACUGAGAUCCAAUAUGCUUUGGAGGGUUUAGUGCUACGUAGUUUGAAUAUAAUAUUUUUGAUAAUUCUCAUUUGUAUCACUAGGAAAUAUAUAAAUAAAAGAAAUCUCAUGGUUUUGUAAUUUCAAAUCCUUUUAAAACUAUAUGACUUCUUUAUAAAAUCUCUACACAAAGAUGUAAAAAAGAAAAAAAAAAAAAUCAAAUGUCUUAAUGAUCAGUAUUGAGUAUAAUUAAUUAAACUUGUAUAAUGCAUUAAUUUUAUUUCCAUUUGACUAUUAUUUUAAUUUUACAGUCCUUUUAAAUGAUAAAAUUACUUAUCUUACAAAUUAAAAUAUAUAAUUAAAAAAUAUAUAUGUAUUCCAUCUAUUUCAAUUUACCAACUUUAUUACAAGUGAAUGAAUACUUUUUUACGAAAUAAUCUUUUAAAAGCAAAUACUAUAAUUUUUAGAUUUAGUUAGUGGAAAGACAUAAUUAAAACAGAGAAAUCAAUAUUCAAUAUGUAGAAGGAUUUGAUUUAAAUUUUAGCAGAAGUCCCAAGAUUUUUUUAUGAUUUUUCAAUAUCGGGAACUAUAAGUAUUGAUUAAAAUGAUUUCUAAAAGUUAAUUUAUUUUUAAAUAUAUCUUUGACAAAUCCAACUAGAGAAAAAUUAUAACAAGAUUAGGGAUGGCAGGCGGGCGGGUUUUCAUGGGUAUCCGAUCCGCCCAAACCCUAUUAGGACGGAUUUGGUUUUUACAAAAUGGAUUUGGGCGAAUUCGGAUUUGAAAAAUUUUACCCGUCUCGGAUUCGGGUAGGGUUCGGGAUUAGGUAAUCGGAUACCCAUUACCCGAACCCGAUUAACUAUACUAACAAAACUAACCCUAAUCUCUAAUUUAUUUUUUUAUUUUACUCUUUCCUCUCUUCAUCUACAUCUCUCUCUCCCUCGCUUCCCUUCCCAUAGUUCUCAGCCACGCCCCUCCCCCACUUCACUGCCGGCAGCCCAGUCGUCACCGGCGACGUCUCCUUUCUCUCCCCAGUCGACGAUAAAUCUUCUCUUUCCUCCGUCAGCAAUAUCUCCUUCUCUCUCUCCAGCGGCGACAUCUCCGACUUUCCAGUUGAAGACAACUCUUCCCUGUGCCCGGUCGACGUCGGCGAUAUCUCCUUCUCUCUUCCUAGUCGGGUGAAAUCUACUCUUUUCAAUUUACGCUUCUCUCCCCGCACUUCACUGACGCUAGAGACAACCCUUCUCUCCUCAAUCGGCGACAUCUGCUUUGACUAGAACUCUCUUCAGGUUUCAAGAUCUUUUAUGUGUAUGUUCUUAAAGAAUUUUAUAAUUUAUAAACUAUUAAUCUGAUUAUUUGGAUAUAUUAAAAAAUCUAAUUAUUUGCUAUUUGAUUAAUGUAAUACUGUUGAUUUUUAAAAUUUAUGGACAAUUAUCUAAUUAUUUGAUUAUAAAUCAAUAUUUGUUGGGUUGCUGAGUUGCUGGUUCUUGUCAUUGAACAUUUCUCCUCCUACUGAAUUGUGCAACUGUUAGAUAGUUUAUUUGGUUUUGUCAUUGAAUGAAAUUAAAAAAAUUAUUUGCUGAGUUGCUGGUUUGUAUCGAGUUCGGGUAUUGUGCGGGUAUUGUUAAACGGGUUUGGAACGGGUUCGGAUAGUAAAAUUAAAAUAUUAAACGAGUUUGGGACGGGUUCGGGAAUUGUAUAUAUAAUCGGGUUUGGGUUUGGGUACUCUCAAUUUCGCGGGUACCCUACCCAUUUACAUCCCUAAACAAGAUAAGUAUCGAUUAAAAUGAUUUCUAAAAGUUAAUUUAUUUUUAAAUAUAUCUUUAACAAAUCCAUCUAGAGAAAAAUUAUAACAAGAUAAUUCUUCAAUAAUAAAUUUGCCAUACAAACAUAGGUUUUUCUAUUUCAAAGUUACUUAGUUCUUCUCUAUAAAAUGUGAAUUACCUUAUGCACUAUAAAAAAACCUUCGGAUUAUCCACAGAUUUUAUCAACGAAUUUUAAUCUGUUAAUAAUUUUAAUAAAUUUAAAAAUUAAUUAGUAAUUUUUAUAUAAUUUAUAUGUAUUAUUAAAAAAAUUUAAAAAUGAGUGGUAAUUUAUAAAUAAUUAAAAUAAUCGGUGAUGAAAUUUCCUAACGAAUUUAAAACCUAUUAGUAAAUUCUUUGAUAAUUUACUAAUAAAUUUCAAUAUGUCAGUAAAUCUAAAAAAAUAUUUAAAUUAAUAACAAAUUAUAAAUCUAUUACUAAUAUAUUUAAAAAAUCAUUAUCGAAUUUAAAAAUUUAUUAUUAAAUUUUAUUAUUAUAUUAAUAAAUUAAAAAAAUAUUAAAUUUAUCGAUGUUAUCCAUUAGUAAAUCAUUGAUAAAUUUAAAAUGAAAUCAGAUGUAAAAUUUUUACUUUUUCUUUAGAUUUAUAGUUGUCGGUUAAUGACGAAUUUCAAAUCCGUCGAGAAAAAAUCUAAUUUCUUUUUUUGUAAAAUUUAGUAACGAAUUAUGAAUCCAUUACUAAUUCAUAUUUAUAAAUAUAACACUAUCUCUUUUUCUUUUAUUACUCAUUCAUUUUAUCAUUUUUUUUUAUUUUUUUUCCCUUUCUCUCAUUUUUUUUCUUUUUCUAUUAUUUUCUUUUUCACUUUAUUAUUUCAUAAUUUUUUUUAUUUUUUCUAUUAUUUUCUUUUCUAUCUCUUAUAUUUUUUUUCUCUCAUUCUCUUUUCUCUUUUAUUAUUUUUUUCAUUUUUUUCUCAUAAUUUUCUUUUAGCUUUCUCCAUUAUUUUUCCAUCAUUUUCUUCCCUUUACCUCUCAUUUUCUUCAUUUUCUAUAUAAUUCAUUCAUAUUGCCCUUAUUUGAAAUGUCAAAUUUUGAAAGAAUUCGAAAAAUAAAUAAAUUCCUUUAUUAAAUUUUUGUGUUUGGUACAAUCAAUAAUAUAAAAUUUUAAUUUUCUUGAUUUUCGUGAGAAUUGAUUUUGAAUUAAAAGUAAAUUUUGCCAAAAUUAUUGAAUUUUUACAAAAAAAAAAUUUUAUUUAAAGUUACAUCAAAAUUACUUAAUUAGCCAUUGAAUUUUUUUUUUAAAUUUAAUUUUAAAUUUAUUUCUUAUUUUUAAUUAAUAAUUACUCUUUAUAAAAAUUAUUUUAAUUUAAUAGUAACUAUUAAUAUUUAAUGCAUUUAUAAUUAAUAUUAACAAAUUUAUUAUAUUAUUUUAUUAAUUUUAAAAAUAUUUUUUAUAUUUUAAUGGUAAAAAAUUACGUAAAAUUCAAACUUUAAAUAUUAAUAAUGAUUGUGAUAAAAAUGAAUGUUAUUUAUAAAAAUAAAUAUUUAUAUUUGUUUAAAAAUAAUAAGAAUAUAAAUGAAUUAAAUUAAAUUAAAUUUUAUUAUUAAUUUGUCUAACAUAAAUGAGUUAAAUUGAAUUCUAUUAUAUUUAAAUUGAUUCUAAAUAAAUGAAUUUUUUCAGAAAUAAAUUGAAUUUUUUAAUGAAUUGCAUACCAAAUAAGGGCAUUAAUUACUCUCAUAUUAUAUUCUUUUAUCAUUUUUCUUCUAUCAAUAUUUCUUUCUAUUAUUCUCUUUUUUUUUAUUUUCUUGUAUAAUUAUUUGUCCCUUUUUUUUCAUUUCUCUAAUCAUUAUUUUACUCUAUAUUCAUUCUUCCUUCUUUUUUCAUAAUUUUUAUUUUUUUAUUAUUUUCUUUUUUUAUCAUUUUCUCUUCAUCUAUAUUAUUUAUUUUUCUCUUAUUUUUAUUUUUAUGUAUUUCUAAUAAAUAUUGAAUAUAAAUUAAGAAUUUAGUAACAAUAAUAAUAUAAUUUUAAAUUUUAUUGAAGUAAUAAAAAAUAAUAUUAAUAAUAAAAUUUAUUAUUUAAUUAAAAUAAUAAUUAUUUUUAAAUUAUUUAAAUUUUUAAUAUGAAUUUAGUGACAAAUUGCAAUCUGUUAUUAAUUUAUUAAUGGAUUUAUCAACAGUAUCUGUUAAUAAAAUAUUUUUCUUUCAAUUUAUUAAUAAAUUUAAAAUUCAUUAGUAAUAAUAACAGAAAUUUCACUGAUAAAUAUGUUAAUAUUUUUUAAUAGACUUAAAAACUAUUGGUAAAAAUUUAUCGACGAAUUUUUUCAUAACGGAUUGUAAUCCAUUAGUAAUCAUUAUAAACGAAUUACUAAUAAAUUUUAAUUAAUUAGAUUAUUAACGAAAAAAUUCAUUGAUAAUGCAAAAAUUUCUUAACAAUCAUUUGACUGUUAUCUUAAUUUUACAGUCUCUUAAAUGAUAAAAGUGAUAGGAUGCAAAUUCUGCCUAUUUAGUAUAUGUUUUAAUAUAUUUAAUUUGAUUUGAUUUUGCUAAAUUAUGAAUAUUUUUUUCCCUUUUAUAAUAUUAGCCAAUUUUAUUCAUUCUAGAAAGAAAAAUUCUAUUUUAAAAGUUUAGACAAGAAUCAGAAUUGGAGUCCUAAAUCUAGCCUUGAACAUGUCUUAUACUGUGAGCACAACUUAUAUGAGUUAACUUAUAGUGAGAAGUGAAUGGAGUCAUGAAAUAAAUCUUAGGCAUGCUUCAUAUAAAGGUCACACAUAGAAUUUAUUGAAAAGCAAGUAAAGCUAUAGAGUAAACCUUGGGCUAAGCAUGCACAGACUUAUGCAAUGUCACAGAAUUUUCAUAUCUAAUUCUCUAUUAAAUUGUAAAAAUCAAUUUAGGAAGAAAUGAUUUUACAAAGAAAUGACACUUUUAGAUUGUUACUUCUAGAUUUUCUUUUAUUUCUCUUUAGUUUAGGAUUACUCUCGUUUAAAAAAUGGAAGGUUCUUUGAAUGGGAGAACUUUUGAAACUCAUGAUGCUUUACUUUUUUGCUUUUAUGAUUAGUUCUUUGAAUGGAAAAAUGGAAGAUUCUUUGAAUUAAAAAAACACAUAAAAAAAUAUUCACACAAGUGUAAUCAAACUGAACUGAACUGAUUUUUGUAAAAUUUAGAUUCAUUUAUUAAAAAAUUUUAAAAAUUCGACCUCGAGCUGGUUUAAACUCAAUUCGAAAAUUAAAUACUAUAAUCGAGUUCAGUUCACACUCGACUCAUAAAAAACUCGUUUAGUAUAAUAACGAAUCUAAUAACUUGACUCAUAAAAAACUCAUUUAGUAUAAUAAUGAGUCUAAUUUCAACUUUAAUAUGAAAAUUUGAAUUAAAAAAUUUAAAUUCGAAAAAUUCAAUUAAAAAACUCCAACUCGAAAAAUUCUAAAACAAUUUGAUGAUUUAUUUUUAAUUGUAAUCAAUUAAAUUAAAAGUUAAAACAAUAUAUUAUCAUUUAAUUCACAUCAGAUCAACUUACCUUGCGUCCAUCUAAAGAUACUAAUUAAUUAAUUAGUUAGAAGACCUUCUAGAGUGUCAAUAGCAAUAAUGCCGAUGAAAUAGGAUCUCCACACUUGCUUUUCGUUGUUUAUAAAGGAAUUUAAUAAGAAUGUUUUUAAAGUGUUGAUUUGAUUUGUCCGCAUAAAUUGAGGGAAAAAGAACAAAAAAGGAAAGGACGAAGCAAUUCAUAUAUAUAAUAACAAGUUUUUCCAAAAAGAGAAAACACGAUAUUUUUUCCUAAAUCUAAACUAAAAACAGACUUUAAAAAAAAAAAAAAACUGUAUGCAUGUUUCUCCAAAAUUUAACAAGGAUUCGAGUAUGUGUCUCCAAAAUUUAGUAGAAAAUUUUGAAUAUGCAAAUUAACAAUUUAUUUGAGUGUAUAAAUAAUUUGGAUUGAACAAAUAAUUUUCUCAAUUUCCUCAUUUUUUAGGAAGGCUUUGUAGUGCGUCAAGGGCAGUGGGUUCCAAGCAACUAAAUAAUUAGAUUGACUUCCCACUUGCUUUUCCUUUUUGGCAACGGGAAAAUAAGACCACUUAAUGAGAAUUACUAGGAAAUGAUAAACAUCAAUAAAUAAAUAAUUCAAGAGGAAGACUAGGUAGACUAUUCUUCUGAUGGCCAGAAAUUUUCAUAUACUUUAACAUAGAAAUUAAGAAUUUUCCUUCAGUCUAAAUUAACCCCUUGUCGAAGGCAAGACUUUUAUAAGUCUUUCUAAGUAAACAUAUAUAGAAACUAAGCACUAUAAAUAGAUACAGAAACUCCAUUCAUUCCCACCAAACAUAAGCACUAAUCUCCAACCUCAAUUGAUUGGUAGUUGGAGACUUUUAGCAGCUCAAUCCAAUGAUUCCUAAAACCUUCCAACUUUUUGGAGCCAUUUUGCUCCUCUUCUUGUUUCAGUUACCAAACAGAAUCCAAUCAAAACCAAGUGGAAAUCCUUUUGGGUUUAUCCAACACCUAGAGGGAUGCCACAAGGGUGAAUCUAUAAGUGGGCUCAAGGACCUUAAACGAUAUCUUGAGAAAUUUGGGUACUUGAAUUACGCCGAAAAAAGCAGAAACAACCAUGCAAAUGAUGAUGAGUUUGAUGAUCUUUUGGAGGCAGCAAUCAAGGAUUACCAACACUACUAUCACCUGCAAGCCACAGGAGUUUUAGACAAUAAUACAGUAUCUCAAAUGACGAAACCUAGAUGUGGGGUGCCAGAUGUUGUAAAAAAUGGCACAAACAAGCACUACCAUAAUCCCAAAUCCAUCCACUCAGUAGCCCAUUUCAGCUUCUUCCCUGGACCCCGAAGAUGGCCAGCUGAGAGAAGCCAUUUAAGAUACAGGUUUCGUUCCAGUGUGCAAGUCCCUGGAACUGGAAACUUCAGGUCUAUAUGUGCACAAGCUUUUCAGAGAUGGGCACAAGUUACCCACUUCACAUUCGAGGAAGUUGAUGCUAAUUCUGAGGCAGAAAUCGAGAUUGGAUUUCACAGGAGGUUCCAUGGAGAUGGGAACCCUUUUGAUGGAAUAUCAGGGACUUUAGCACAUGCAUUUGCACCAACUAAUGGAAGGUGCCAUUUUGAUGGAGAUGAGAUAUGGAGUGCAAAUCCUGGACCUAAUGAGGUGGACUUGGAAUCAGUUGCAGUGCAUGAAAUAGGGCAUCUUCUGGGUCUUGACCACAGUGAGGAUCGAAAUGCUAUAAUGUAUUCUACCUUUGAUUAUGGGAUUACCAAAAGGGAAUUGGGUACUGAUGAUAUUCAAGGAAUUCGUACUCUGUAUGGAUUGCAGUAAUAGUUGCAUUAUUUUAUUGUAAUAAGAGCAAUUGAGAUCCAAUAUGCUUUGGAGGCUUAGUGCUAUAUUGUUCGAAUGUAAUAUUUCUAAUAUUUUUCCCUUAUAUCACCGGUUAAAAGAAUCACAUGGCUGCUUAAAGGUUUUAUGAUAUAGGACUAAUUAGAUUUCGUCAAGAGUUUUAACUGAUAAUAUUUUAAUGGAUUUAUUAAUGGAUCUUAUAUUUAUUAGUAAAUUAUUUUUCUUUUAAUUUACUAUAAAUCUAAAAUCCGUUAAUAAUAAUAACGGAAAUUCCAUUAGUAAAUAUGUUUAUAUUUACUAAUAGAUUUAAAAAUCGUUGACAAGCUUUUUAAUAAGGGAUUGUAAUCCGUUGGUAAACAAAUUAUCAAUGGAUUUUUAUUAGAUUACCAAUGAAAAAAUUUGUUGGUAAUGCAGAAGUUUCUUGUAGUGAGAUUCACCAUUAUCUUAAUUUUAUAAUUUCUUAAAUAAUAAAAGUGAUAGGAUGCAAAUUCUGCCUAUUUAAUAUAUAUUUUAACGUAUUUAAUUUGAUUUGAUUCUGUUAAAUUAUAGUUAUUUCUUUUCCUUUUGUAGUAUUGACAGAUUUUAUUCAUUCUGAAAAGAAAAGUUUUAUUUUGAAUGUUUAGACAAGAAUUAGAAUUGGAGUCGUAAAGCUAGUCUUGAGUACGUCUCACACACAGUGAGCACAACUUACAUUAAAUGACUUAUACGGAGCAAUGAAUAGAGUCAUGAAAUAAAUCUUAGGCACGCUUCAAAUCAUGGUCGCAAAUAGAAUUCAUUGAGAAGCAAAUAAAACCAUAGAGUAAACCUUGGACUAAGCGUACACAGAUUUGUAGCAUAACUUAUGCAAUAUCACGGGAUUUUCAUAUCUAAUUCUUUAUUAAAUUGCAGAAACCAGUUUAUGAAGAAUUGAUUUUAGAAAGAAAAAAAACUUUUAGAUGGUUACUUCUAGAUUUUUUUUAUUUCUCUUAAGAAAAGUUCUUUGAAGUGAGAACUUUUGAAACUUCUUAUACUUUACCUUUUUGCUUUUAUAAUUGGUUGCGACAUGAGUUACGGUGGCAAAUCUUUUUUAUCUAGUUAGGGAACUUUCGAGGUGUAUCCUUCUUAUUUUUAGUUUUUAUAUUAUCCCUUUGUUCUUUAGAAUUUUAUUUAUUUAAUUGAUGUAAUAUAUCCAAUUGCUCAAUUGAGUAAAUAGCAUAUAAUCAUUUAAAUUCAUUUAGUCUCUUCUUAUUUCUAGUUUCUAUAUUAUUCUUUUAUUCUUUAGAAUUUUAUUUAUUUAGUUGAUGUAAUCUAUCCAAUUGCUCAAUUGAGUAAAUAACAUAUAAUCAUUCAUAUUCAUUUAGUCAGUAAUUAUUUGUGAGUUUUAUAUUUGUGACAAACAAUAUUUUAUUGUGAAAUAAGAUAUUAUGAUUUCAUAGUUGCGCUGGUAUGACCUUCUUGGUUAGAAUCGGGUCUUUCUAAUUUUAAAUGCCGUUAUCAAAUUAAAUCUUAUUAAAUUUAUCAUAUAGUUUGUUUGUUGAUUAGGGGCUAAUUAGUAAACUGAUCCUUUUUAGUCUAUUAUCUAACGAAAAAUUAAAUUGUUAGAACGUGUCAAUAAUUAUAACUAGCUGACCAGAAAUUAAUUUAAAUAUUCUUGCAUCUAUGAUCAAUCUCGAAAAUUAACACCAAGAUACUCUCGAAAUUAAAUAUUUUUUAAAUCUAAUUAAUCUCUUUAAUUAUUUGCUUCUUAAUUAGUUUACUUUUACAUUCAAUUAAAUCUCUUUAAUCUAAAACCCCAUACUUUUAUAUUUUAUUUUACUUUAUUUUUAGAGUAAACUACAAUUUAGUCCCUCUAGUUUAGUGAAAUAUAACCUUUCAUCCCUCUGUUUUUAAAAAUCGUCAAUUUAGUUACUGUGAUUUUUAAAAAUUAUGCCAUUAGUCCCUCCCGUUAGAUUUUCAGUUAAGUCACCAUUAGUUUUAGUUAAAAGACUAAAAUACCCAUUCUCUCAUCCACCUCAUCAGUCUAUCAUGGAAUUGUGUCCUCUGUUGCCAUGGAUGUCUAGAGCUUCCACAAGAAAAACAAGGGUGUUAAGUUAACAGUGGCAAAGAAAUCUUACAGACAAUUAGUAAGAAAUUUUACAUGAUAAGACCAAAGAACUUGGUCUUGGAUCCCACUUUGGAUGUUCAGAUUUUGAAAUCAAAACAAAAUUUUUUUAAAUAAGCAACUGAUAAUCACAACAGAGGGACCAAUAGCAUAAUUUUUAAGAUAGAGGAUCUUGAAGAUGGAGGAGUACUCAUUUCGAAUCAUCCUAAAAAAAGCCCGAAUCGAGAGUUUUGCUUCGUGGGUUUGCAGAUAUGGAUGCUAGAACUCCAUUCUCUCACCCACAAUUCCAUCGACUGCAAUUCCAUGAUAGAAAAUAGCUGGAGAGAAUUGGAAAGAACCUUUGGAGAAAGAUCAUAGACAUUAGAACAGCGCAUGCUGAUUAACCUACGCAAGCAUUUGACUUCUGCGGCCACAUCGGCCGUGUUCAUCCGUACCUUCACCAUAUCUUCUCCCUAUUCAAAGAUCGCUCUUUAUCUCUGUGUCCUUGUGAAUGGAACUGGAGAAGAUAUCCGUAGCAAAAGGAGUUGUCUUUCGAUUUCAAAAUAUGGAGAAAGGUCUUCGCCUUGCUCGCUACCGCCUGGUGCCUGGAUAAUUUCCAGUUCCGACAUGCUUUGCGAUGUCGUUUUGUCCAUCAUCUUUGAAGAAUACACUUGCUGCAAAAUAUGUGAUCAAAAUCUGUAGCUUAAGUGUUCGGUAGAAGUAGGUGGCUUCAUUUAAUGUUUACUGUUACCAUUGCUUGAUCUGUUGCUUAAAACACUCUCUGCCACAAUUGUUGAUGAUGUUGUCUUGCUAGAGUUGUUUUCUAAAGAGUUUUGAAGAAACACAAUCCAUUGAUAGACUGAUGAGGUGGGUGAGAGAAUGGGUAUUUUAGUUUUUUAACUAAAACUAACGAUGACUUAACUGAAAAUCUAACGGGAGGGACUAAUGGCAUAAUUUUUAAAAAUCACAAUGACUAAAUUGAUGAUUUUUUAAAACAGAGGGACGAAAUGUUAAAUUGCACUAAACUAGAGGGACUAAAUUGUAGUUUACCCUUAUUUUUAUCAAGGAAUAAAAUUAAACAGUAAUUUUUGAAUUUAAUCCUACUCACUAUAUUUAUAAUUAUUUAUAAUAAGAGCAUGAUUUAUUUUUAUUGGAUUCGACACCUAUUAAAAAUUAUUUUAAAAUAACUUAUUUUACAAAUCAAAAUACAUAAUUAUAAAAUAAUAUAUGAAUAUAUUCCUCUUAUUUUGAUUAACAAAAUUUAUUAUAAAAUCAUGAUUUAUGCAUUCAAGGUUCAAUGUACACAAUAAUAAACACUUCUUUUACAAAUUAAUAUUUCAAAAAUAAAUACUAUAGUUUUUAAAUUUAUUUAAUAAAAAAACAUAAUUAAGUCAGAAGAAUGGAUUUUAAAAGAAGCUUUUAUACGUGUAAAAGUUGAGAAAAUUACAAAACCUAAUACAAAUAAAUCAAUACGAAGAUGGAUGAUUUGGUUGCUCCAUUUACAAACUGAUCUUUUAUUAAUAAAUUAUUUAAAAUUAUAAUACAUGGUAUAUAAAUUAAAAACUAUAGAUAAUAAUUAAAUUGGUUAUAAUAUUUAUUAUUAUAUAAUAAAAAUUAUAUACAUAUAAAAAAUAAUUAUAUUUUCAAUUAUAUUAUAUAUGUUAUAUAAUAAAUUAAUAUUUUUAUAUUUAUUUUAUUAACAUAGUAAAUUAAUAAUAUCGUCAUUAGUCAUUUUAUAUGUCUAGACAUAGUAUACAAAAGCAGGCUUAGCCUGGUGGAAAGUGCAUCCUGUAGCCUUGAAAGGUCUAAGGUUUGACUCCUCCAACCCCUAUUUCAAAAAAAAAAAAAAAGACAUAAUAUACAAAACACAUAAGGUAUAUCAGUUAAAAUUAAUUACCAGCGAUAAACUAUCAAUAACUAUUAUCAAUUAUAUUUAACAGGUAAAUAAAACAUUUUUUAAUUUGAUAGUGAUUAUUCUCUGAUUAGCUUUCAGUUUACACUGCACUAUCAAUUGCAAUUUAUUCCUUUUGAAUUAAUAUAUUUUUUUAAUUCAAAUAAAAUUAAGCUCCUAAUUUUUUUUAAGCAAUGAGUUAUGCCAAUGCAUUCAAUUUGUUUUUCCAUAUUACAAGACUAAUUAAAUUAAUUUAGUCAUCGUUGAAUUAAGCAAUUUAAGUUUUCCUAUAAUGAAAAAAAACUUACGAAAAACACUUAAAAAAAACAUUCAUCAGACAUAUAAUUGAAUCGAGUCGAAUUAAUUUUUAUAAAGCACACAUUUGUUUAUUAAAAAAUUUUGGAAACUCGACCUCAAACUGACUUCAACUCGAUUCAAAAAUUAAAUAUUAUAAUAGAAUUCGGUUCGAACUCGACACUUUAAAAACCCGUUUAAUAUAAUAAUGAGCCUAAUUUAACUCGUAAAAAAUUUAUUUAAUAUAAUAAUAAAUCUAAUUUAAAUUUAAAUUCGAGAAACUCAGAUUAAAAAGUUCGAGCUCGAAAAAUACUAAAAUAAUUGGAUGAUUUAUUUCUAGCUUUAAUCAAUUAAAUUAAAAGUUAAAACGAUAUACUAUUAUUUAAUUCACAUCAGAUCAACUUAUCUUGCAUCCAUCUAAAGAUAUCAAAUAAUUAAUUAGUUAGAAGACCUUCUAGAGUGUCAAUAACAAUAAUGCCUAUGAAAUAGUUUUCUCCCCACUUGCUUUUCAUUGUUUAUAAAGGAAUUUAAUAAGAAUGUCUUAAAAGUGUUGAUUUGAUUUGUCGACAUAAAUUGAGAAAAAAAAAAAAGAACUGGAAACGACGAAACAAUUCAUAUAUAUAAUAACAAGUUUUUCCAAAAAGAGAAAAGACAAUAUUUUCUCCUAAAUCUAAAGUAAAAACAGACUUAAAAAAAAAAAAAAGAAACUGUAUGUUUCUCCAAAAUUUAACAAUAAUUCGUGUAUGUGUCUCCAAAAUUUAAUAUAAAAUUUUGAAUAUGCAAAUUAACAAUUUAUUUGAGUGUAUCAAUAAUUUGGAUUGAACAAAUAAUUUUCUCAAUUUCCUCAUUUUUUAGGAAGGCUUUGUAGUGCGUCAAGGGCAGUGGGUUCCAAGCAACUAAAUAAUUAGAUUGACUUCCCACUUGCUUUUCCUUAUUGGCAACGGGAAAAUAAGACCACUUAAUGAGAUUAAUUACUAGGAAAUGAUAAACAUCAAUAAAUAAAUAAUUAAAGAGGAAGACUAGGUAGACUAUUCUUCUGAUGGCCAGAAAUUUUCAUAUACUUUAACAUAGAAAUUAAGCAUUUUCCCUGAGUCUAAAUUAACCCCUUGUUGAAGACAAGACUUUUAGAAGUCUUUCCUACUAAUCAUAUAUAGAAACUAAGCACUAUAAAUAGAUACAGAAACUCCAUUCAUUCCCACCAAGCAAAAGCACUAAUUUCCAACCUCAAUUGAUUGGUAGUCGGAGAAUUUUAGCAGUUCAAUCCAAUGAUUCCUAAAAACUUCCAACUUUUUGGAGCUAUUUUGCUCCUCUUCUUGUUUCAGUUACCAAACAGAAUCCAAUCAAAACCAAGCGGAAAUCCUUUUGGGUUUAUCCAACACCUAGAGGGAUGCCACAAGGGUGAAUCUAUAAGUGGGCUCAAGGACCUUAAACGAUAUCUUGAGAAAUUUGGGUACUUGAAUUACGCCAAAAGUAACAGCAACAACCAUGCAAAUGAUGAUGAGUUUGAUGAUCUUUUGGAGGCAGCAAUCAAGGAUUACCAACACUACUAUCACCUGCAAGCCACAGGAGUUUUAGACAAUAAUACAGUAUCUCAAAUGACGAAACCUAGAUGUGGGGUGCCAGAUGUUGUCAAAAAUGGCACAAACAAGCACUACCAUAAUCCCAAAUCCAUCCACUCAGUAGCCCAUUUCAACUUCUUCCCUGGACCCCGAAGAUGGCCAGCUGAGAGAAGCCAUUUAAGAUACAGGUUUCGU